rnacentral:rRNA from 1 species
UACGGAGGGUGCAAACGUUGCUCGGAAUCAUUGGGCGUAAAGCGCACGUAGGCGGCUCGUUAAGUCGGAUGUGAAAGCCCCGGGCUCAACCCGGGAAGUGCAUUCGAAACUGGCGAGCUUGAAUAUGGAAGAGGGUCGCGGAAUUCCCGGUGUAGAGGUGAAAUUCGUAGAUAUUGGGAAGAACACCGGUGGCGAAGGCGGCGAGCUGGUCCAUUACUGACGCUGAGGCGCGACAGCGUGGGGAGCAAACAGG